rnacentral:rRNA from 1 species
AGAGUUUGAUCAUGGCUCAGAACGUACGCUGGCGGCACGCCUAACACAUGCAAGUCGAACGAAGUAGCAAUACUUAGUGGCAGACGGGUGAGUAACAUGUAGGUAUCUGCCCUUUGGCCUGGAAUAACACGAGGAAACUUGUGCUAAUACUGGAUAAGUCUUUACGGAGAAAGCUUUAUGCACCAUUGGAUGAGCCUGCACUUGAUUAGUUUGUUGGUGGGGUAAUGGCCUACCAAGACUGUGAUCAAUAGCUGAUUUGAGAGGAUGAUCAGCCACAUUGGGACUGAGACACGGCCCAAACUCCUACGGGAGGCAGCAGUGGGGAAUCUUGCACAAUGGAGGAAACUCUGAUGCAGCGAUGCCGCGUGAGUGAAGAAGGCCUUUGGGUUGUAAAGCUCUUUCGUCGGGGAAGAAAAUGACUGUACCCGAAUAAGAAGGUCCGGCUAACUUCGUGCCAGCAGCCGCGGUAAUACGAAGGGACCUAGCGUAGUUCGGAAUUACUGGGCUUAAAGAGUUCGUAGGUGGUUGAAAAAGUUAGUGGUGAAAUCCCAGAGCUUAACUCUGGAACUGCCAUUAAAACUUUUCAGCUAGAGUAUGAUAGAGGAAAGCAGAAUUUCUAGUGUAGAGGUGAAAUUCGUAGAUAUUAGAAAGAAUACCGAUUGCGAAGGCAGCUUUCUGGAUCAUUACUGACACUGAGGAACGAAAGCAUGGGUAGCGAAGAGGAUUAGAUACCCUCGUAGUCCAUGCCGUAAACGAUGUGUGUUAGACGUUGGAAAUUUAUUUUCAGUGUCGCAGGGAAACCGAUAAACACACCGCCUGGGGAGUACGACCGCAAGGUUAAAACUCAAAUGAAUUGACGGGGACCCGCACAAGUAGUGGAGCAUGUGGUUUAAUUCGAAGAUACGCGCAGAACCUUACCAACACUUGACAUGUUCGUCGCGACUCUAAGAGAUUAGAGUUUUCGGUUCGGCCGGACGAAACACAGGUGCUGCAUGGCUGUCGUCAGCUCGUGUCGUGAGAUGUUGGGUUAAGUCCCGCAACGAGCGCAACCCUCACUUUUAGUUGCCAUCAUUAAGUUGGGCACUCUGAAAGAACUGCCAGUGAUAAGCUGGAGGAAGGUGGGGAUGACGUCAAGUCCUCAUGGCCCUUACGUGUUGGGCUACACACGUGCUACAAUGGUAUCUACAACAGGAAGCAAGACUGCGAAGUUAAGCAAAUCCCUAAAAGAUACCUCAGUUCGGAUUGCACUCUGCAACUCGAGUGCAUGAAGCUGGAAUUACUAGUAAUCGUGGAUCAGCGUGCCACGGUGAAUGCGUUCCCGGGUCUUGUACACACCGCCCGUCACACCAUGGGAGUUGGUUCUACCUUAAGGCAAGGUUUCAAACCCUUGACCACGGUAUAGUCAGCGACUGGGGUGAAGUCGUAACAAGGUA